UUAGUGGCGAACGGGUGAGUAAUACGUGAGUAACCUACCUUUAACUCUGGGAUAAGCCCGGGAAACUGGGUCUAAUACCGGAUACGACCAAUCUCCGCAUGGGGUGUUGGUGGAAAGCGUUAUGUAGUGGUUAUAGAUGGGCUCACGGCCUAUCAGCUUGUUGGUGAGGUAACGGCUCACCAAGGCGACGACGGGUAGCCGGCCUGAGAGGGUGACCGGCCACACUGGGACUGAGACACGGCCCAG
rnacentral:rRNA from 1 species